GACGAACGCUGGCGGCGUGCUUAACACAUGCAAGUCGAACGGAAAGGCCCUGCUUUUGUGGGGUGCUCGAGUGGCGAACGGGUGAGUAACACGUGAGUAACCUGCCCUUGACUUUGGGAUAACUUCAGGAAACUGGGGCUAAUACCGGAUAGGAGCUCCUGCUGCAUGGUGGGGGUUGGAAAGUUUCGGCGGUUGGGGAUGGACUCGCGGCUUAUCAGCUUGUUGGUGGGGUAGUGGCUUACCAAGGCUUUGACGGGUAGCCGGCCUGAGAGGGUGACCGGCCACGUUGGGACUGAGAUACGGCCCAGACUCCUACGGGAGGCAGCGGUGGGGAGUAUUGCACGAUGGGCGGAAGCCAGGUGCAGCAACGCCGCGUGCGGGAUGACGGCCUUCGGGUUGUGUACCGCUUUCGCCUGUGACGAGGCGUGAGUGACGGUAAUGGGUAAAGAAGCACCGGCUAACUACGUG
rnacentral:rRNA from 1 species